rnacentral:rRNA from 1 species
CAGCACGCCGCGUGAGGGAUGACGGCCUUCGGGUUGUAAACCUCUUUUAGUAGGGAAGAAGCGUAAGUGACGGUACCUGCAGAAAAAGCACCGGCUAACUACGUGCCAGCAGCCGCGGUAAUACGUAGGGUGCAAGCGUUGUCCGGAAUUAUUGGGCGUAAAGAGCUCGUAGGCGGUUUGUCGCGUCUGCUGUGAAAUCCCGAGGCUCAACCUCGGGCUUGCAGUGGGUACGGGCAGACUAGAGUGCGGUAGGGGAGAUUGGAAUUCCUGGUGUAGCGGUGGAAUGCGCAGAUAUCAGGAGGAACACCGAUGGCGAAGGCAGAUCUCUGGGCCGUAACUGACGCUGAGGAGCGAAAGCGUGGGGAGCGAACAGGAUUAGAUACCCUGGUAGUCCACGCCGUAAACGUUGGGCGCUAGAUGUAGGGACCUUUCCACGGUUUCUGUGUCGUAGCUAACGCAUUAAGCGCCCCGCCUGGGGAGUACGGCCGCAAGGCUAAAACUCAAAGGAAUUGACGGGGGCCCGCACAAGCGGCGGAGCAUGCGGAUUAAUUCGAUGCAACGCGAAGAACCUUACCAAGGCUUGACAUACACCGGAAACGGCCAGAGAUGGUUGCCCCCUUGUGGUCGGUGUACAGGUGGUGCAUGGUUGUCGUCAGCUCGUGUCGUGAGAUGUUGGGUUAAGUCCCGCAACGAGCGCAACCCUCGUUCUAUGUUGCCAGCGCGUUAUGGCGGGGACUCAUAGGAGACUGCCGGGGUCAACUCGGAGGAAGGUGGGGAUGACGUCAAAUCAUCAUGCCCCUUAUGUCUUGGGCUUCACGCAUGCUACAAUGGCCGGUACAAAGGGCUGCGAUACCGU